rnacentral:rRNA from 1 species
GAUGAACGCUGGCGGCGUGCCUAAUACAUGCAAGUCGAACGAACAGACGAGGAGCUUGCUCCUCUGACGUUAGCGGCGGACGGGUGAGUAACACGUGGAUAACCUACCUAUAAGACUGGGAUAACUUCGGGAAACCGGAGCUAAUACCGGAUAAUAUAUUGAACCGCAUGGUUCAAUAGUGAAAGACGGUUUUGCUGUUACUUAUAGAUGGAUCCGCGCCGCAUUAGCUAGUUGGUAAGGUAACGGCUUACCAAGGCAACGAUGCGUAGCCGACCUGAGAGGGUGAUCGGCCACACUGGAACUGAGACACGGUCCAGACUCCUACGGGAGGCAGCAGUAGGGAAUCUUCCGCAAUGGGCGAAAGCUUGACGGAGCAACGCCGCGUGAGUGAUGAAGGUCUUCGGAUCGUAAAACUCUGUUAUUAGGGAAGAACAAAUGUGUAAGUAACUAUGCACGUCUUGACGGUACCUAAUCAGAAAGCCACGGCUAACUACGUG